rnacentral:rRNA from 1 species
GCAGUAGCCGCGGUAAUACGAAGGGGGCUAGCGUUGCUCGGAAUCACUGGGCGUAAAGGGUGCGUAGGCGGGUCUUUAAGUCAGGGGUGAAAUCCUGGAGCUCAACUCCAGAACUGCCUUUGAUACUGAAGAUCUUGAGUUCGGGAGAGGUGAGUGGAACUGCGAGUGUAGAGGUGAAAUUCGUAGAUAUUCGCAAGAACACCAGUGGCGAAGGCGGCUCACUGGCCCGAUACUGACGCUGAGGCACGAAAGCGUGGGGAGCAAACAGGAUUAGAUACCCGUGUAGUCCCUGUCUCUUAUAA